UCAUCAGGCAUUAGAUUCUCGUAAGGAA
rnacentral:piRNA from 1 species